rnacentral:rRNA from 1 species
CUAUGCGCCUUGCCAGCCCGCUCAGGUGUGCCAGCCGCCGCGGUAAUACGGAGGGUGCAAGCGUUAAUCGGAAUUACUGGGCGUAAAGCGCACGCAGGCGGUUUGUUAAGUCAGAUGUGAAAUCCCCGGGCUCAACUUGGGAACUGCAUCUGAUACUGGCAAGCUUGAGUCUCGUAGAGGGGGGUAGAAUUCCAGGUGUAGCGGUGAAAUGCGUAGAGAUCUGGAGGAAUACCGGUGGCGAAGGCGGCCCCCUGGACGAAGACUGACGCUCAGUGCGAAAGCGUGGGAGCAAACAGG